UUCAUGGCAAAAUAAUUUUGGAACACAAGGAGGCAGAAAGAACUGUGUCCCAAUGUUGUGAGAAGAGAAAGACACAAUGAACCACUGCUGGCUUUGAAGAUGGAAGAGGGAGCUGCAACCCAAAGAAUGCCUCUAGAAGCAGGAGAAGGCAAGAAACAGAUUCUCGCCUAGAGCUUCCAGAAAGGAGCACAGUGCCAGCACUUUGAUGUUAGCCAUUCUUAAGAAGUGACUCUCCAGGGGAGCUAAAAUCCAUGUAUUUGGGCACACACUUGAACAAUAUUGCUAGAGAAAUUUAAGCAAGAGCACAAAGGUUAAUGACAUCUCUUGUGGGGACCACUGUGAGAAUAAAACAAGGCACUACGUUGUCUGGGAUGAUGGAAGGAGCUAAAGUCUUCAGUGAAUGAAGGAGCAGGACCAGGAGCUCAAAAUACUUCUUUGAAGACAAAGAAGAAAUGAUAUUACCAAAUGGUUGGCUCAAAAGAACAGGGAUUUUGCAACAGAGAGAGUAUGUCAUGGUCUUGAACAAGCAAUGAAAGAAUCAUCUGAAAGGAAUGUGGAGAUCAGAGAAAAAUGAUGGGAAAGUUACCACAGCCUGCAAAUGAGAAAUGAUGAGAGCCUGCCUGGGACAAAGAAUCUACAAUAGAUCUUCUCCAGCAGCUCUGGAGGUCAGACCCAGCUGUGGAGAGAAUCAUUUCUAAAAAACUAGAAGGCACGUUGGGAGACUACUACUUUCUGUGGAUGAAUGGGAAAUUCAAGACAGAAAAUGGAUGGGCGAUAUGGAAAUACAACUGUUUUGCCAGGACGAUUAAAUAUCAUUGAUGCUUCUGGUCUACAAUUAGUCAGAGAAGAGAUUAAAAAAAUGAUGAGUAUUCAAGAAGGAAAGUGUUUGCUUUAACAUAUGAAGAAAAGGAGCUUCAGAGUGGUGAUUAACCCCAGAAUUGUGUGGAACGGAUAUGGAAACAAGACCACAGGAGCAUCGAGAACUGAGCAGAACUGAAGGUGACAUGAAAAUCAGCUGCAAGAUUCACCUCAGGGUGAUAAUGGGCUGCAGGUGGCUGCAGGAAUCCCGGGACAUUCUAGGCACUGCCAUAUUUUCUUAGGGGCCAGUAAGGAUGGCUAUCAUCAGAUGUACCUGAUGAUACAAACAUGGGCUGUCUUGCCUUCUAGUAUUCAUUCUUGAUGAUUGCAUCCAGAGCUCACUUUGGAGGUGCAGAUCAACUCUUCUUCAGGCUCAUCCAUGCGACUUGAGUGGGCUCUCAUCCCCAUUCCCAGGGGCUUAUGACAAUCAAGGUUUCCACUCCUCCAUGGUCUCAAUGGUUUUUCUCCCCAUGGGAAGCACAUAAUCCCAUUAGAGGCCACGGGAAGCUUUUUUGUUGGGCUUUGAGGGAAAAAAGGCUUUUGCAGCCAAUGAAUCGAUCAAUGUGUACUUCAACCUGGAUUGUAUGUAUGCAUCUCCUAGAUUGGGCGGAUGAUGAAGUGAGGCUGGAAGUGCUGAGCAUCUUCCUACCUGGGAUGACUGGGCUGAGCAGGAAGCCUACCCCGGGGUUCCAGCCAAGUUGGAGCCUGUGAGUGUGUGGUGUAGUUUAACGCCCUGAUUAAAUCACUAGGAAGCCAUUUCUCUCUCUCCUCCCAGACCAGAUCAGACAAUAUGUUCCCUUAUUUCUACUAAAGCCCCAAUUGGAUUUUGUGUCUUUUGAUACUGAAAGAAUCUUACCACAAAUAAAAUAAUUUGUCAUGUGGCUCCUACAUAUUUAUUCAGUUACAUAAACUAACUAAAUAAAUGAAUAAACUGUCAAUAAUGGUAGUUCCUCAUCUAUGAAUGACUCUUUACAAAGCCUAUCUCGCUUAAUAGUCAUAAUAAAUACUGAAGUAGAUACUAUUUAUACCUUUUUUUUAAAAGGAAUUAAAUAUUUUCAGGGUUAUACAAAGCAUGAGUAUUGUGGGUACAAAUUCAAGCUUUCUAACUCAAAUUUGAAGACUUAUCCCCAGGAUACUUUUACAUCUUUAGCUAGUACCAUGUAUACCUCAAAAGCUUACAUUAUUUUUCACAUGUGUUAGGUUUUGAGGGAUAAUCAAUAAGGAGGGCAUACUUUCAGGCUUCUUAUUUAUAACUGUGAAAUUUAGAAAUUGAUGGAGUAGCAGAUUUCUCGGUAGGAGACAGCUGUUUUAAAAUGCCCCAUGUUUUUAUUAAAGUAAAAAUCUCAAAAAUUGUCUUUUAAAAAGUGGCUCUGGCCAAUCUUAGAUAAAACAUCAUUUACUAGACUUAGGAAUUUCCUGUAGUAAAUUUCAGAUUUACUUUUCGGUCUCACAUCAUCAAAGAGAUCAUAACCCUUUGUGCAAUUAUGGUCUUGAACCAAGGCCUAUUCUCUAGGUCACUGCUGUCAGGACUUCAAGAUAAUUGUUUCCAUUGCAGGAUUUGAUUUUUAAUUCCCCGGAUGUUCUUGACGUGGUUCAGUUCUUCAGGAAAUCAUCACCCUCAUGAGCCCUCCCUGCCACUUGCAGAUAGGGCUUUCUCCCGGUAAGUUCUGGAGUCACGGCAGAGCUCAAUAAGUCUGAUUGGGACCUCCUAUGAUUAU
rnacentral:lncRNA from 1 species